GGACAUGGUUCAGUGGCAGAGUGCAUGCUUAGCAUGCACGAGGUCCUGGGUUCAAUCCCCAGUACAUCCA
rnacentral:tRNA from 1 species